rnacentral:rRNA from 1 species
GAAGGGCGUGCUAAUCUGCGAUAAGCGCCGGUAAGGUGAUAUGAACCGUUAUAACCGGCGAUACCCGAAUGGGGAAACCCAGUGUGAUUCGUCACACUAUCAUUAACUGAAUCCAUAGGUUAAUGAGGCGAACCGGGGGAACUGAAACAUCUAAGUACCCCGAGGAAAAGAAAUCAACCGAGAUUCCCCCAGUAGCGGCGAGCGAACGGGGAGGAGCCCAGAGCCUGAAUCAGCAUGUGUGUUAGUGGAAGCGUCUGGAAAGGCGCGCGAUACAGGGUGACAGCCCCGUACACAAAAGCGCAUGUGCUGUGAGCUCGAUGAGUAGGGCGGGACACGUGGUAUCCUGUCUGAAUAUGGGGGGACCAUCCUCCAAGGCUAAAUACUCCUGACUGACCGAUAGUGAACCAGUACCGUGAGGGAAAGGCGAAAAGAACCCCGGCGAGGGGAGUGAAAAAGAACCUGAAACCGU